GGGUUUAACCCCCGGGGUGGGAGCAAAAACCCCGCCUCACCGGCUAAAUCCCUCCCUGCUGCAACCCCACUUUUACCUCAAUCUGCUGCAUUGCCCCCCCGCCCUCAAACAAAAGGAAGCGAUGCGGUGAAGGGGUCGAGGUCUUUCCGUGCCUUGAACCUUGAGUCGAUACAGAAUCAAUACAGCGAGCUCCAUUGUCUCCCCCCGUGUGAGAACCGGCUGUCUGGGCUUCAUUAUCUUUAAUUAGCUUCUCGUAUAGUGAAUUAAUUUGACCUGAAAUAGAACGUGCUCAGCGAUGUCUCGUGUUUAGCAUAAUCCAAAACAAUUCUAGUGUCAGAGUCCAAUUAUUUUUCAUUUUACCUUGACCUUUACCCGCCGGUGAAGGGUAUUUGGGCCGGGAAAGGGGGGGCAGUGACCUCUGUGGUUGAAGUGUUAAUUUUGGAGCAUCCUGUUGUCGAUGUGGUAGACGGGGUUGAUUGAUGUGGCUGCUACCUGUCCUCCGCUCUGCGGCCGCUGCUACAGGCGCCGGCUCCCGGUCACCGUGACAACGCUAACAAAACGAUGGAGGCAACACCUGAAUGGUUGAACGAACCAUGUGGAACAACAUCAGCAGGUCGAGUCCACCGAAGUGUUUGAGGGCGCUCCGGAGGUCCGUAUUCUCCCCCCCUCCCCGCGGCCCCCUGGGGGUCUGGUUGCUGUGAUACGGAGGGAGCAGAGACGUCAGUGAAGGUAGAGCGUGCAUGAAGCGCGUAGAGGUCAGAGGUGUCGCUGCUGGUUGGAGAGGAAACAUCUGGAGGCCGAACUCAAAGAAGACCACAACAAACUGAUGAAAGACACAUUUGAUGACGUCAUCGACUGGCUGUUUGUCCUCGCUACGAAAUGAGCCACCAAAUAAAGGCGGCGGUGGAGAACACAAAGGUUUGCUAAUUAAAACCAUGGAUGCGGUUACAGGACAAAUGAUUGCACAAAGCAUUCAGGCGCAGCUGUAAUCUUUUUGGAUCUACAUUAGUUUCCGUGUGAGAGCAGAGUCCAGCUUUGGAAGCUACACACACGGCGACCUGUUUCUAUUCCCUCGUUAAUUCGGACCAGCAGACCUUCUGGACUGCGUAACAUUGGAUUAUUCGCAGUGCGACGGCUGAAAUCGCUCAGAAUAGAAGGUUGUGGUUCCGCACGGACUCUUCUCGUAAACGCAGCGCUGUCUGUGCAGCGCGACACUGAAGAGCUUCAGAGUCCGCUCCGUUAGCAGAGGUCCGUCCACCUGCUGACGAUGCAAAACCUCUUCGUUCUCGUAGUCUCUCAUGGUACCGUUCCUUAUCCGAAGUGUGAGUGCGGAGCGCCGCUGCAGCUUACACACUGUAUCAUGUGAGGAGAAACAGCAGUUACAUGAGUAGCACGAUGCUAACAAACGCGGGCCGGCUCCUGGAGAUUAAAGCGGGCCCCCGGGGGCCGCUGAAAACAUCAUUAUCAUUCAGUCACGUUUGGUCGGCUGUGGAAUACAAGGUCAGGCCAGAUGUUGUGCAGAGGUGGCAGCUCACGGAUGGGGCAGCGCCGUCGUUACCGGGAGAGUGUGGUACACACACAGACACACACAGACACACAGACACACACACUGUCCUCAAAGCGUUCUGGAUUAGUGUUUUCUAGUGUUUGUACGAUAUUUGCCAAACCUGCUUCGAUGAAUCAUCUAAAUCCAAUUAGCAGACUUUUCAGAGGAAACAGCUGCUGUGGUCAUUGUGGAUGAUUGCUUCUGUCGAAAACAAAGUGAGAUCAAUAAUCAAACUCAUUUGUUAAUAAAAAAACAUUAAGAUUUGUUCAGCCGGUCGGCCCGAAUUCCCCCUGUAAUGGAAACGACGUCCUGUUUGGGUUUGGGAUACAGUCUCCCAGCGACUUUACGUCGGCCUUAUUUAUACAUUAUUAAACUCUUCCUCAGAAUUUGUGUCCGUUAAAGCAAUAGAUUACAUUUCUUACCAAGUGUUUAAUGAGAGUGUUGAUCGAUCCGCUAAGGCUUCACUGGGAGGCUGAGGAGCGCUGCUGUGGGUUUGUGUGUGGCUUUCCUCUUAAGUGCUAAAUAAGUCAUUAAUUGCAAUAAAAAGGGUGGUUAAUGAAAGACGGUCCUCUGGAGGUUCGCGUUGCUUUUGGUGCCACAAAAGACAUUUUCCUGCGCUGUACUUGGAGGAGGCGGGAGUCUCGUUGGCGGGGAGAAGUGAAACCAUCUGGUGGGUAAAUGCCUCCGCGCCCCGACGGGCUUUUUUCUUGUUGUCAAAUUUGCAACUCGCGCUUCCAGAAGCGCAAUUAAAAGUUCAGGUCUGCGGCGCACGCGAGCGGGGAAAGUUUCGGAGGACACGUCUUGUCUCCCGACUAUCGUAUCACAGCAGAACGGGUGGAGGCCAACGGCUGUCUGAAGGGACGGAAGAAACUUUAAACCCGGCGACGCCUUAAAAGAGUUUGUUUCCAUCGCAGAGAGGGAGAGAGCUCUGAUUGGUUGGAUUCCAUCACACCUGCACGCGAGCCUUUGGUGCAUUCUGGGGGAUAAUCACACUUCCUUAGCAAACCCGACAGCGCUCUUAUCUUCCUCUUCCUCUUCCUCCGCGAGCUCUCCGUCAGCGGCGCUCCGUCUCGUGGUUUCGGGGCCCGGCUGGGCUCCCGCGUGGCAACGUCAUCCAUCUCCACGGCGAUGGCGGUGACGGGGCUAACGGACGACAGGCGCGACGGAGCCGCCGGCUUUACCCCCCCGCCCGAGAGACGGGAGGAGGGCAACUUCGUCUGGGCGGGUCUGCAGAGAGAGACUUCCUCCUACAGCGCUCCUCCAUUACUCCGCUCCCAGCUUCAUCCAUAGUAUUCAUAUGUCUGGGGGCCCCGAGGGGCCCCGCGGGGGCCGCGGGCCGCCCGGCCGCGGGGGGGGAGUGCGCUCGGCGUGGCUUCGUCAGGCAGACGCACAAACAAGCACCGGAUGCAUUUUUAAUCAGAGGGAAAUAACGUCUCUUAAUUACAAUGGAGGUCGGGCUUUCGACCCCAGGACGCCACGCGGGGAAAACGCGUUGACUUAUUCAACGGCAUCGACAGAGUGGGGGGGCGCGUUUCACCAACAGGCUCUGCUUUAUUACCCGGAAUGCACGUUUCGUCUUCAGGUCCUUCGACCUGUGUCUUUUUUAUUACCGCGACAUUUUGUUUUACAGCUCAGCAGUUACUAGAAGUCAUCAAAUGUGCAAAUAUUAAUUAAACAUAAAGGAUAGCCCACUCAACCUCCCAUGAAAAACCCACAAAGUAAAGUGAGACAAAUCAACCGGAGCUAUUAAGAUAGGCGGCUUAAUUAUGAAUGAGCCACGUGUAGGCGUAAUAAGCAUAGCUGAUACAAUGGCUCUGUGCACAAUAUGUGCCACGGAGUAUAAAUUAGAGCCUGUUUAAAAAAGAAAAGGGGAAACACACCACGUUACACUUUAAUUACGAAGCAAUAAUUACAUUAUACGGCUGCAGGUCAGAGGUUACUCCAUCAUCAGUUAAGCAAUGAAAACUGACAUGCGGUUGAAAAGUACAAAUAACUGAAUAAUAACUGAAUAACUGAAGCGACUGAAGCGGUCGAGAAAUCCGUCUGCGGUCAAAUUAGUUUGUCAUGUAACAACCUUGUAAAUAAUUAAAUGCUGACAUUUCAAACAAACAAAAAUAAAUUUAGAAAUAAAGGAUUACGUAAGCGAUUUGAUAGUAGAAUGAUGAGAACUCUAAAGGGCUCCAAGCUGCAUUCUCUGCAAUGACCCGCAGGGGGCGACUCCUCUGCUCCCAUAGACGUCUAUGAGGAAAUGACUCUACUUCUCUGUAGUGACCAGCAGGGGGCGACUCCUCUGCUCCCAUAGACGUCUAUGAGGAAAUGACUCUACUUCUCUGUAGUGACCAGCAGGGGGCGACUCCUCUGCUCCCAUAGACGUCUAUGAGGAAAUGACUCUACUUCUCUGUAGUGACCAGCAGGGGGCGACUCCUCUGCUCCCAUAGACGUCUAUGAGGAAAUGACUCGUCUCUCUUCAUUUAUUCCCUCAGUAAACUUUGUAAAUAUGAGUUUAUGUCUCAGUCUCUAGUUUCAAGUCUUCUUCAAUGCAGCUUGAGGCUCAUUUAGUAAAUUAUGGUCCAUUUAGAGUCAAACAGACCGUAAAGCAGGGGACGCUUUAGGGCGGGGCUACAGGCUGAUUGACAGGUCUCUCUGCCAGAGACAUAUACAAUGCAACUUACCCUCAUUUAAGGGCUCUUACGAUAUCGAAGGAAGUUAAUGUUAAGGAAAGUCUGCGUUUAAGUGAAAAGGCACGUUGUUCAUCUAAGUUACUUCAUAAAUUAAAAAUAAAUCAAAGUCAACAUUCGGGUUGAAAUUGAUGUGGCAGAAGAUACAAAAGAAUAAGUCUGGUUUGGGUAGAAGCCACCGUGGAAGGUAGAGUAGGAAUGCCAUUGGGUCAAAGGGACAGACCGGACAUUAACAGCAGU
ensembl:lncRNA